rnacentral:rRNA from 1 species
UCUCCGUUGGUGAACCAGCGGAGGGAUCAUUACCGAGUUUACAACUCCCAAACCCAAUGUGAACGUUACCAAACUGUUGCCUCGGCGGGAUCUCUGCCCCGGGUGCGUCGCAGCCCCGGACCAAGGCGCCCGCCGGAGGACCAACCAAAACUCUUGUUGCAUGCCCCCUCGCGGGUUUUUUGUACUAUCUGAGCCAUCUCGGCGCCCCUCGCGGGCGUUUCGAAAAUGAAUCAAAACUUUCAACAACGGAUCUCUUGGUUCUGGCAUCGAUGAAGAACGCAGCGAAAUGCGAUAAGUAAUGUGAAUUGCAGAAUUCAGUGAAUCAUCGAAUCUUUGAACGCACAUUGCGCCCGCCAGUAUUCUGGCGGGCAUGCCUGUCCGAGCGUCAUUUCAACCCUCGAACCCCUCCGGGGGGUCGGCGUUGGGGAUCGGCCCUUCACGGGGCCGGCCCCGAAAUGCAGUGGCGGUCUCGCCGCAGCCUCUCCUGCGCAGUAGUUUGCACACUCGCACCGGGAGCGCGGCGCGUCCGAUGCCGUAAAACACCCAACUUUCUGAAAUGUUGACCUCGGAUCAGGUAGGAAUACCCGCUGAACUUAA